rnacentral:lncRNA from 1 species
CAGCACUGUUGUGUCACACAUUGCACUGUUGUGUCACACAUUGCACUGUUGUGUCACACUCAGCACUGUUGUGUCACACAUUGCACUGUUGUGUCACACUCAGCACUGUUGUGUCACACUCAGCACUGUUGUGUCACACAUUGCACUGUUGUGUCACACUCAGCACUGUUGUGUCACACACAGCACUGUUGUGUCACACAUUGCACUGUUGUG